UUGACCUCAAAUCAGGUAGGAAUACCCGCUGAACUUAAGCAUAUCAAUAAGCGGAGGAAAAGAAACUAACAAGGAUUCCCCUAGUA
rnacentral:rRNA from 1 species